rnacentral:rRNA from 1 species
AUUGAACGCUGGCGGCAUGCUUUACACAUUCAAGUCGAACGGUAACAGCACUUCGGUGGCUGACGAGUGGCGAACGGGUGAGUAAUACAUCGGAACGUGCCUAGUAGUGGGGGAUAACUACUCGAAAGAGUAGCUAAUACCGCAUGAGAUCUAAGGAUGAAAGCAGGGGACCUUCGGGCCUUGCGCUACUAGAGCGGCUGAUGGCAGAUUAGGUAGUUGGUGGGAUAAAAGCUUACCAAGCCGACGAUCUGUAGCUGGUCUGAGAGGACGACCAGCCACACUGGGACUGAGACACGGCCCAGACUCCUACGGGAGGCAGCAGUGGGGAAUUUUGGACAAUGGGCGCAAGCCUGAUCCAGCAAUGCCGCGUGCAGGAUGAAGGCCUUCGGGUUGUAAACUGCUUUUGUACGGAACGAAAAGCCCUCUUCUAAUACAGGAGGGUCAUGACGGUACCGUAAGAAUAAGCACCGGCUAACUACGUG